rnacentral:rRNA from 1 species
CACGUAGGGCGCAAGCGUUGUCCGGAAUUAUUGGGCGUAAAGAGCGUGUAGGCGGCCACUUAAGUCCUGCGUGAAAUCUUGCGGCUCAACCGCAAGCGGUCGUGGGAAACUGGGUGGCUAGAGUGCGGGAGAGGAGAGUGGAAUUCCGUGGUGUAGCGGUGGAAUGCGCAGAUAUCAGGAAGAACACCCGUGGCGAAGGCGGCUCUCUGGAACGCAACUGACGCUGAGACGCGAAAGCGUGGGGAGCAAACAGG